rnacentral:tRNA from 2 species
GCGCUUUUAAUUUAAAGGGAUAGAAUACCACCCUCCGAAGGUGGCGGUGCGGGUUCAAUUCCCGCCGGGCGCA